rnacentral:lncRNA from 1 species
GGGAAAGGGCGGGGAGAGCCGGGGGGGGAGGGGAAGAGGUANAGAGUACACCAAGAGGAUGUAGGGUUGAGGAGUGGUGAGUGGAAACAGGUGGCCGUAGCGAGGGCGCGGAUGAGGGGGAGGUGGGCACCCAGAAGGGGGGGCCGUACUCGAAGGUGCGCGCGUGGUGCNAGACUAAGUUCUUCAGGGUACGAGACCGGGGUUUUUCGUGGUGCGGCGUCUAGGUGAGAUAGGAUCUUGGGAACCAGCGUUCUUGGUAGAGCGGUAUUGGGGGGGCGCCGAGCUGGCUACCCUCCCCCCCUGUGGUUUCNCGGAGGCUUGAUCGCCCUGCGUUGCCGCAGGGUCUUCCCGUUUGAGUACUUUUCAAUUUAGACCCAGUGCUGUGGAAGGGCGCGGACUUGUGCGGUGUUACCCCCUCGACGGGGGCUAUCUCCCCUGGACUAGCCCAGGGAGGGAGAGGCGGAGGAGGGUAGUAGUCUCAGGAGGCUGUUUGGCGUCUUGUGGUGUGAGCUCUUUGCGCUCUUUUUUGCGUGAGGAUUUUUGAGCUUGGUGACCUCCCCAGCCCGGGAAGACUCGUCGGGCUCCCGGUCGCCCAAGUCCUGGUAGCGAGCUCUCUGAGAUGCUCGGUUCGUUCGGUCGGCAGGAAGAGCCCCCCAGUUGCGACUUCGUUUAUGUUAGGAGACCAACGGGCAUAGAUCCCGUCUAGUUGGAGCGCCAAACAAGCGCUGUUGCGUGCCGGCCGUCGUUUCCCGUGCGGCCUGACCCGGGGGCGGAGUGCAUGAGACUAACCAGCCGUAUGCACCCGCCCCCCGCGCUGUGCUUCGGCCCUGGGCCCCCGGCUUUUCAGCCCACAGUGUAAUCAACGUCAUACAUACAUACAUACAUACAUACAUACAUACAUACAUACAUACAUACAUACAUACCCAGCCCGGGAUGACUCGUCGGGCUCCCGGUCGCCCAGGUCCUGGUAGCGAGCUCUCUGAGAUGCUCGGUCCGUUCGGUCGGCAGGAAGAGCCCCCCAGUUGCGACUUCGUUUAUUGUUAGGAGACCAACGGGCAUAGAUCCCGUCUAGUUGGAGCGCCAAACAAGCGCUGUUGCGUGCCGGCCGUCGUUUCCCGUGCGGCCUGACCCGGGGGCGGAGUGCAUGAGACUAACCAGCCGUAUGCACCCGCCCCCCGCGCUGUGCUUCGGCCCUGGGCCCCCGGCUUUUCAGCCCACAGUGUAAUCAACGUCAUACAUACAUACAUACAUACAUACAUACAUACAUACAUACAUACAUACAUACAUACAUACAUACAUACAUACAUACAUACAUACAUACAUACAUACAUACAUACAUACAUACAUACAUACAUACAUACAUACAUGUUAGGAGACCAACGGGCAUAGAUCCCGUCUAGUUGGAGCGCCAAACAAGCGCUGUUGCGUGCCGGCCGUCAUUUCCCGUGCGGCCUGACCCGGGGGCGGAGUGCAUGAGACUAACCAGCCGUAUGCACCCGCCCCUCGCGCUGUGCUUCGGGGGGCCGUACUCGAAGGUGCGCGCGUGGUGCAGGACUAGGUUCUUCAGGGUACGAGACCGGGUUUUUCGUGGUGCGGCGUCUAGGUGAGAUAGGAUCUUGGGAACCAGCCGUCUUGGUAGAGCGGUAUUGGGGGGGCGCCGAGCUGGCUACCCUCCCCCCCUGUGGUUUCCGGAGGCUUGAUCGCCCUGCGUUGCCGCAGGGUCUUCCCGUUUGAGUACUUUUCAAUUUAGACCCAGUGCUGUGGAAGGGCGCGGACUUGUGCGGUGUUACCCCCUCGACGGGGGCUAUCUCCCCUGGACUAGCCCAGGGAGGGAGAGGCGGAGGAGGGUAGUAGUCUCAGGAGGCUGUUUGGCGUCUUGUG